rnacentral:misc_RNA from 1 species
ACUUCCACCUGGCAUACCUCUUCAUUUAUGUGUCAAGACUUGUAUCGUCUUGAGCGUAUCGUGGGUUUCCUGUGUUGCAUACCUAACUAAUGGCAUCGUUUUGAUUGAUUGGAGUCCCUUUUCGUCUUGCGUUGCCUUUGUGAUGCAUGAUGAACUUUGAAUUGGCCUCUAUGUUCCACCAUGUUGAUGCUAGUAUUUGAUGUUGUGGCCCAUUGAGUGUUGCUUGGUUUCGUGGAUACAGAACAUUAUUUGGACAUAGGGUCACUUGUGACCCAUGUUUUGUCCUUUAUCAGUGUUCUUUAUAACGACGGUUCAUGGCGCCUAGGCUCGUACCUGCGUGAUGUUCUUUGUCGAAGAGGAAUGCUACCUGGUUGAUCCUGCCAGUAGUCAUAUGCUUGUCUCAAAGAUUAAGCCAUGCUGUGUAAG